UCUUUACACACUUUCCUUAUAUAGGACGAUGAUGUGAAUCAGAACCAACUGAAACGACGAUUACGAAACCUGGCUUUGUCUCCAUUAAAGCUUUGCCAAAAAACCUAGCUUGGAGGUGUUAAGGAUGGGGAGAGGAAAGAUCGUGAUUCGGAGGAUCGACAAUUCCACUAGCAGGCAAGUGACGUUCUCGAAGCGGAGAAGCGGACUGCUGAAAAAGGCUAAGGAGCUGGCGAUCUUGUGCGAUGCCGAAGUAGGAGUGAUAAUCUUCUCCAGCACUGGAAAGCUCUAUGAUUACGCAAGCACCAGGUCCUAUAAGAUCUCAACAAAGUUCCUUUACAUUUUUACUAUUAUUAUCUUUCGUAUUCUGCAUAUAUGAAGCUCCAAUUUAAUUAAGAUCUGUAUAUUCAAUCUCUAUUAUGCUUCUUUUGUAUAUUGAUACUCGAUUUACUGUGAGAUUAGAGGAUUUUCUGCUUCAUUGAUGCAAAUAUGCUUGUUCUCUUUUGAU